rnacentral:rRNA from 1 species
GACAGAGGUGCCAAGCGUUAGGCGGAAUCACUGGGCUUAAAGCGUGUGUAGGCGGAAUUGUAAGUACCUUGUGAAAUCCCACAGCUCAACUGUGGAACUGCUCGGUAUACUGCUUUUCUUGAGCCACUUAGGGGCUGUCGGAACAAACGGUGGAGCGGUGAAAUGCGUAGAUAUCGGGAGGAACACCAGUGGCGAAGGCGACUACCUGGCCUGUUCUUGACGCUGAGGCGCGAAAGCUAGGGGAGCAAACGGG